UCACUAGUUAUUGUCCAAAAACCCCAAAUUUUUCACAUUAUUAGGCUAAACCCAGUGCAGACCAGCAAAAUCUUCAAAUUGCCUUUGACUUAAACAUGACCUGGACAGAGUUAAUGCUGGGUUUUUAGAUCUGGGCGUUUUGCAGCAUCAGUUUAUCGAUAAUAAAUCUUGAAAAAUAUGAGUUUUUUUCCACAAAAUAUUAGAGUUUUUGCCCAAAAAGCCAGACCAGAAAAAAGUAUGAUUAAUACAUUUAUAACAUGUCUAAAAUGAAUGUGUCUGAAACUAAGUGAUUUACGGGCAUCAAUUAGAUUUCAGUGUCUGCUAGCACUCUUUUUAACACUUAUUGCACAAAUACAAUAGCACUGUUAUAGAGAAAGCCUCUUUGGAACAUUAAGCCAUCUUCAGAACAGUUGUGACAAGAUAAAAAGACCAAAUGCAAGGGAGAGAGUGGGCGUUUGUGAAUAUAUGUGUGUGUUUGUGUAUGUGUCUGAACGUGAAUAUAUCUACAGUUUAUUAGGCAAAACAGUGAGUUUUUACCACACUUAUAUGUCCUGACUGAAAUUAUUAAGCAAAAAGAAAAAGAACCUCACAAAAACCAUACCUUCAGAGGAUACAAUUGGAUUUACAUAAAUCUUACUAAAUGUAACAUUGAUAAAGGCUGCUGACUGCCAUAUCACAUAACUACAAUAGAUGGCAGCAGAAAAUCAAGUUUCCUUUCUUAAAAAGAAUAUUCAGAAUGAUGUGGGACUACUUUUCUUCAUUCUUACCUACAGCUGACAACAGAGGGACUGAUUUUUCACAUAUUGUGCCUCUAUGGGCAUUUUGGGUUACAUUUGUCAGUAGCUCCUGUGCAGAAAUCUUUUCAGUUAUGCCUCUUAUUCUUAAGGUGUUCCUCUUGCUGCUAUCUUCAAUGACUGCAAGUUUUAUUGUCAGCCUCUGUAUUUCUUCUUCAAGGUUAGUAUUUACAUUUAUAUGUUUGAUAUGAGAAGAACCCAUUAACUCCACCAUCUUAUUUUGCAGAUAAUCUGUUUUGUCACCAGUUGCUUGAUAUCAUCCUGAUGUCUGACAAUAUACCAAUGAAGCCUUUUUGCAAAUACCCCUCUCUUGGCAGGCCAGAAGCCUGACAACAAAGCCGAAUGAAUGUCUGGACCAGAAAAUGGAUGAGCUCAACAUGGUUGUAUUAUAAUAAACUAGGCUGGAGCUCACUCAGUAGGAGCAAUUUAGCUGUGUGCCCAUGGAUGCUGGCAUCAGUGGAAAUGGAAAAAAUGAAACAAAAUAAAUCUCUCUAAAACCUCUACAAAUUUGAGUUCUUCGGACAAUUACAAGCAGAAAAAAAUCCGCAAACCUAUAUGGAGGAGCAAUAACCAUCUGUUGAAGUAAAAGUUGGAGAUAGUCCUUCAAGGCUUCAGCCUUUUCCUGGGAAGCUGACACAUCGAGCAAAUACAUGUCUUUGUGCUCCUGUUCUGAAUUCCACUUGGUAGCCUAGCUUGAUCAUUCUUACUCAUUGAUGUUUUCUAAUCUGCCUCCUACACAGGGCUUCUGGGCCAGUGCACCUUCAGAGGUUUUAUGGAUUUAGGAAUCCAGUUCUAUAUAGACUGCUUGAAAAAAAUUGACUGGCCCCCUCUGUAAUUUAAUUGUCGGAAGUUUCAAUUCUGCCCUGAAAGGAACCAUUUGCCUGUUAGCAGAGAGCUGAUCUGAACUGCAUGUGCAGCUUUUCUGUAAGUGAGGACAGACACACCAACUUCUGUGUGAAACUUGGUUGCUUUA